CUGGAGGGAAAAAUCAUAGUGAAAUCUUCUUCUUCCAUUUCUCACUAUGGUGUUUGUCUCACUGUCAAUGGAUCCGUCAAUUUGCAGAUUCGUGGAGGAUCGGCUGGAAUUAUUGAGUCCUUAUAUGGUGUUGUCAAGCCUAUCUCCAUUUU